rnacentral:rRNA from 1 species
CACGGAGUUAGCCGGUGCUUAUUCCUCAGGUACCGUCAGACUGCAUGGGUAUUAGCCCUGCAGAUUUCGCUCCUGAUAAAAGUGCUUUACAACCCGAAGGCCUUCUUCACACACGCGGCAUUGCUGGAUCAGGCUUGCGCCCAUUGUCCAAUAUUCCCCACUGCUGCCUCCCGUAGGAGUCUGGGCCGUGUCUCAGUCCCAGUGUGGCUGAUCAUCCUCUCAGACCAGCUAGCGAUCGUCGCCUUGGUGAGCCGUUACCUCACCAACAAGCUAAUCGCACAUCGGUCCAUCCAACCGCGCGAGGCCCGAAGGUCCCCCGCUUUCUCCCGUAGGACGUAUGCGGUAUUAGCGUAAGUUUCCCUACGUUAUCCCCCACGUCUGGGUAGGUCCCGAUGCAUUACUCACCCGUCCGCCACUCGCCACCCACAGAGCAAGCUCUGCUGUGCUGCCGUUCGACUUGCAUGUGUUAAGCAUGCCGC